UCCGGCUUAUCACCGGCAGUCCCUCUAGAGUGCCCAACUUAAUGAUGGCAACUAGAGGCGAGGGUUGCGCUCGUUGCGGGACUUAACCCAACAUCUCACGACACGAGCUGGCGACAGCCAUGCACCACCUGUAUAGGACCCUUACGGACCCCGCAUCUCUGCGAGAUUUCCCUAUAUGUCAAACCCAGGUAAGGUUCUUCGCGUUGCAUCGAAUUAAUCCGCAUGCUCCGCCGCUUGUGCGGGCCCCCGUCAAUUCCUUUGAGUUUUAACCUUGCGGCCGUACUCCCCAGGCGGUCGACUUCACGCGUUAGCUUCGUUACUGAGAGUGUCAAACCCCCAACAACCAGUCGACAUCGUUUAGGGCGUGGACUAC
rnacentral:misc_RNA from 1 species